UGAAGAACAAGGCAAAUUCUAAAUGGAAAGACAGAAUGUAAAUUUGUGAAGUAAAGGACAUGUUGGAUAUAAACAAGAACUUGGGCAAAAGAGAUAGGCAAGAAAUUACAGGACCUUUAAAGAAAAUAAGAAAUAGCCUAUUUCUAGGGUUCCUAGGGUCACAGGAAAUAUCCUCGAUAACGGCAGUAGAAUUGAAGAAUUAUGGAACAGGAUCAUGAGCUAAAGAAAGAAAGAAGAGUUCUAGGAAAGGAGACAGAAGUUGGGAUCUGGAGCUCAGCAGAAACAGGAAAUUCAGUCAGUAGACAUUCAAAGAAAUCUUGAAGAAGGGAAUGAGAUUUUCCAUAUUUCAUGAGAUGAUGCCAUGAUCCAAUUUUAUUUCAAUCCCUUUAAGUUAAAUAACUUCAGUGGACAUCUGGUUUACCAAGUAGCACGCCUGGGCGGACACUCAGCCCAUAAAGCUUUGAGUGUGAAAAGAACCAAGAAGCUAUGAAGAUAUGGAUGAGACCAGAGCUGAAGUUGGUAUAGUAAGAGCUCCACAGAGACUGGUUCAGCUGGAUAGAGACAACUAUCUGUGUCUAUGACAUAGGUAAGCAAAUGAUUUUCUGUAAGUAGAGCUUAGAAUUGUGACACUGAUAGGCUUGGAGAAGCAUGAGACUAUCAGAAAACUAGUAAAGAACAGGAGCCAAAGAAGAUUUAUCAUAGAAUAGUCAGAAUGUAGUAUACUCCUGAUGAGAUGGGAAUAAUUAAGCACCAUCAUCUACAUGGUUGGGUAAAAGAAGGCUUUUAAACAGAAUGAUUCUGCAGAACACUGGCCUAUAAGAAUACGUUUUUCUCAGGUUCUACAUUCAAAUCAGCUUUGAAAGUGUUGCGGAAUUCUGCCACAUUCCUGUGUAGCCUCAGAGUUCAUAUUGACACAAUAAAUUCCAGAGUAAAUGAGCACUGAAAAAGCAACUAUUUUUAACCCGUUUACCUUUAUUUAACACGGUGUUAAACCCUCCUGCAAGGGACAUAGUUUAUUCUCCAACAAAAGUGUGAUAAAAGUUGGAAAAUAGCAGUGUUUACAGGGCAUGCCUAAAAGACAAUGUUCAAAGAUUUAAACUGAUGCUGAGCUAAGUUCUUGUGAUUUUUCUGAACAACAAAUUGCUUUUUCUGGAAACAUAAUUUUUUGUGUGUUUGGUAAUAUUUUUUUUCCUGAACUGACAUUGAAUUUUUGACAAGAAUGGGGGGCAAGUCAGAUAACAGAUGCUGCCGAAUAAGGAUCAAAUAUGGAAUAGAAUAUAAAUCUGCUUCCUUUGACAUUUCCUCUUAUUCUUUUGGGUGUAAGAAGGAAAAUCAAGAUGAAUCGUGGCAGAAACUGGACUGAGGGGAUUUUCUUUUUGCAAAUGCAUAGAUAUAAGACUUCUUAUGACAGCCAUUAAUUGUUAUUCUAAGAAGAAAAGAUAACUUAUAGUGUAUACAAAUGAUAGAAUAAUACUGGGCAAUAAAAAGAAACAAACUACUGACCCAUGGCACAAUAGGCCUGAAUUCUGUACAUGAUUAGAAAAAUAAAACAGACACAGACUAUAUACUUGUACUGUGUGUAUCUAUUCACAUGAACAUUACAGGCAAAAACUUGUAUUGAAGAAAGAUCAGAAAAGUAUUUACUUC
rnacentral:lncRNA from 1 species